rnacentral:misc_RNA from 1 species
AAAAUUUGGUGAAAUGAGUGAAAAUUAUAUAUAUAUAAACUUAUUUAUAGUAAUAAAAAUAUCACUUUUAUCACGGCUUAAGCCGAAACCAACAAUUCAAUGUUGAAAAAGGGAACGACUUAGAAUUGAAUUGGUCUUAACUGGUUCCACCCAAUUUCGAAUCAAGAUGGUUCAAGAUCGAAUUCAGUUCAGUUCAUUAGUGGUUCCGAUUUCAAUUUUGAGCCAUUGAUUCAAGAGGGACUGAAACUGCAGGUUCAGGACCAAUUUGAGCUCAUGAACCAUUGAACAAGACCAGUCCUGAGUUUGACUAAGAUCAGAUCUCAUUCAAAAGCUAGCUCAAAGGGAGGAG